rnacentral:rRNA from 1 species
UUAACACAUGCAAGUCGAGGGGCAGCAUGGUCUUAGCUUGCUAAGGCCGAUGGCGACCGGCGCACGGGUGAGUAACACGUAUCCAACCUGCCGUCUACUCUUGGACAGCCUUCUGAAAGGAAGAUUAAUACAAGAUGGCAUCAUGAGUCCGCAUGUUCACAUGAUUAAAGGUAUUCCGGUAGACGAUGGGGAUGCGUUCCAUUAGAUAGUAGGCGGGGUAACGGCCCACCUAGUCUUCGAUGGAUAGGGGUUCUGAGAGGAAGGUCCCCCACAUUGGAACUGAGACACGGUCCAAACUCCUACGGGAGGCAGCAGUGAGGAAUAUUGGUCAAUGGGCGAGAGCCUGAACCAGCCAAGUAGCGUGAAGGAUGACUGCCCUAUGGGUUGUAAACCUCUUUUAUAAAGGAAUAAAGUCGGGUAUGGAUACCCGUUUGCAUGUACUUUAUGAAUAAGGAUCGGCUAACUCCGUGCCAGCAGCCGCGGUAAUACGGAGGAUCCGAGCGUUAUCCGGAUUUAUUGGGUUUAAAGGGAGCGUAGAUGGAUGUUUAAGUCAGUUGUGAAAGUUUGCGGCUCAACCGUAAAAUUGCAGUUGAUACUGGAUAUCUUGAGUGCAGUUGAGGCAGGCGGAAUUCGUGGUGUAGCGGUGAAAUGCUUAGAUAUCACGAAGAACUCCGAUUGCGAAGGCAGCCUGCUAAGCUGCAACUGACAUUGAGGCUCGAAAGUGUGGGUAUCAAACAGGAUUAGAUACCCUGGUAGUCCACACGGUAAACGAUGAAUACUCGCUGUUUGCGAUAUACUGCAAGCGGCCAAGCGAAAGCGUUAAGUAUUCCACCUGGGGAGUACGCCGGCAACGGUGAAACUCAAAGGAAUUGACGGGGGCCCGCACAAGCGGAGGAACAUGUGGUUUAAUUCGAUGAUACGCGAGGAACCUUACCCGGGCUUAAAUUGCAGAUGAAUUACGGUGAAAGCCGUAAGCCGCAAGGCAUCUGUGAAGGUGCUGCAUGGUUGUCGUCAGCUCGUGCCGUGAGGUGUCGGCUUAAGUGCCAUAACGAGCGCAACCCUUGUUGUCAGUUACUAACAGGUUCCGCUGAGGACUCUGACAAGACUGCCAUCGUAAGAUGUGAGGAAGGUGGGGAUGACGUCAAAUCAGCACGGCCCUUACGUCCGGGGCUACACACGUGUUACAAUGGGGGGUACAGAGGGCCGCUACCACGCGAGUGGAUGCCAAUCCCCAAAACCUCUCUCAGUUCGGACUGGAGUCUGCAACCCGACUCCACGAAGCUGGAUUCGCUAGUAAUCGCGCAUCAGCCACGGCGCGGUGAAUACGUUCCCGGGCCUUGUACACACCGCCCGUCAAGCCAUGGGAGCCGGGGGUACCUGAAGUGCGUAACCGCGAGGAGCGCCCUAGGGUAAAACUGGUGACUGGGGCUAA